rnacentral:rRNA from 1 species
AGCUGCAGAAGAAGCACCGGCUAACUCCGUGCCAGCAGCCGCGGUAAUACGGAGGGUGCGAGCGUUAAUCGGAAUUACUGGGCGUAAAGCGCAUGCAGGUGGUUUGUUAAGUCAGAUGUGAAAGCCCGGGGCUCAACCUCGGAAUUGCAUUUGAAACUGGCAAACUAGAGUACUGUAGAGGGGGUAGAAUUUCAGGUGUAGCGGUGAAAAUGCGUAGAGAUCUGAAGGAAUACCGGUGGCGAAGGCGGCCCCCUGGACAGAUACUGACACUCAGAUGCGAAAGCGUGGGGAGCAAACAGGAUUAGAUACCCCCCGUAG